AAAGAAAGAAAGGUCUCUUCCGAUUAUAAGUAGUAGUGCCGCAGGUAACUGGAGAUUGAUUACCUACUGCCUCCUGCUUAAAAUUGGAAUUUCGAUGACUUUACG
rnacentral:pre_miRNA from 16 species